ACGAACGCUGGCGGCAUGCCUAACACCUUCAAGUCGAACGAGACCUUCGGGUCUAGUGGCGCACGGGUGCGUAACGCGUGGGAACCUGCCCUUAGGUUCGGAAUAACUCCCCGAAAGGGGUGCUAAUACCGGAUAAUGUCUUCGGACCAAAGAUUUAUCGCCUUUGGAUGGGCCCGCGUUGGAUUAGCUAGUUGGUAGGGUAAAAGCCUACCAAGGCGACGAUCCAUAGCUGGUCUGAGAGGAUGAUCAGCCACACUGGGACUGAGACACGGCCCAGACUCCUACGGGAGGCAGCAGUGGGGAAUAUUGGACAAUGGGCGAAAGCCUGAUCCAGCAAUGCCGAGUGAGUGAUGAAGGCCUUAGGGUUGUAAAGCUCUUUUACCCGGGAUGAUAAUGACAGUACCGGGAGAAUAAGCGCCGGCUAACUCCGUG
rnacentral:rRNA from 1 species